GACGAACGCUGGCGGCGUGCUUAACACAUGCAAGUCGAACGAUGAAGCCGGAGCUUGCUCUGGUGAAUUAGUGGCGAACGGGUGAGUAACACGUGAGUAACCUGCCCUUGACUCUGGUAUAACUGCGGGAAACUGUAGCUAAUACCGGAUACGACCCUCGGAGGCAUCUCCUGGGGGUGGAAAGAACUUCGGUCAAGGAUGGACUCGCGGCCUAUCAGCUAGUUGGUGAGGUAAAGGCUCACCAAGGCGACGACGGGUAGCCGGCCCGAGAGGGUGACCGGCCACACUGGGACUGAGACACGGCCCAGACUCCUACGGGAGGCAGCAGUGGGGAAUAUUGCACAAUGGGCGCAAGCCUGAUGCAGCAACGCCGCGUGAGGGAUGACGGCCUUCGGGUUGUAAACCUCUUUUAGCAGGGAAGAAGCGAAAGUGACGGUACCUGCAGAAAAAGCACCGGCUAACUACGUGCCAGCCGCCGCGGUAA
rnacentral:rRNA from 1 species